rnacentral:lncRNA from 1 species
AUGCAACCACUGUCCUUAUUUGCCACUUCCCAUGCAGGACUGUGUCAUCCAUUAAGAAGGCAUACGGAAGAGGAAAAGAAUCCCUGGAGUGGGAAAAGGAGGGACUGCAGGGAGCAUGCCCGUGGCUGCGUGCAUAAGGGACGUAUUUCCCAUUUGCCCCCAUGUGUGCUGAGCUGGUUGCCCAAAGACCUUGGAGGAGCACAGAGGCGCUUUCUGUUACAACUUCCUGCUCUUUGUUUAAGAAAAUACAUUAACGGGAGGAAGAGAGUUCUCACUACAAUCCUGAUUACUAUUUCCUUCCAUUCCAUCAAAAUGACUUCUUCCCAGCCCAGCCACCCCACCAGCCGCUCUCCUCAGCCCGGGGAGCUUUUGAACUCCCUUCAUCUUUUCUGCAGUUAACUUUUUGCAGAUUUCAGCAAGACUCCUGGGCUGUGUGUAUAAAAGUAUAAUUUAAGCAGUGACAAAUAGAAAGCACAUGCUUAUUAAAGAUACAUUAUACAACUCAGUACAGCUUUAAUGUCAUCUGCUCCUAAAACAACAAACCUGUGGGGACUUGUGCCUGUGUGCGUGUGUCUUGAAAAAGGAAGGCAGGUCUGAGGUUAUGGUGACUCAUGAGAACAAGCUGGUAGAUAGAUUUGGGUCCAUGGAGCUUAUUCCAAGAGCACUGUUAGCCUGAGGACAUCCGGGGGACUCGACAGCCACCUGAUGAAUGGACCCCACAGUGCAGCUCCUCCUCAGCUCCUCUUGGGGUUAGGGUGCUGCUCGCAGGGUGCACACAUCUGCAGAGCUCCUAGACACCUUCCUCCUCUUCCUUCCCCCGGCUCUCUCAGCCAGUGCCUAGCAGCCCUUGAAUAUUUUCAGCCCUCUGACUUUGUUUUACUUGAGUCUGAGGCAGGCUUCCCCAGCCAAACUUCUAAUCUCUUUGAUUCGAGUCCCUCCGUGCUCCGCAGCACAGAGCACAGCGCUGGUAUGCAGCGCUGGUAGAAUUUGACUGAGACGAAUGUUCUCCAUGUGAACACAGGGGCUGUAUCUUAUUUAAUUUUGUCAUUUUCAAUUAAACUUUGCACGUACUUCUGUUACCGCUUUGAGUCAAGUUCAGUGCUAAUAUUUAAUAUCCACGCACAUCAAAGUGUUUUUCUUAUUUCAGCUACAUAUUUUAAACAUUCCUUCAAAGAUAAACAUAAUGUUUUAUUUUAGCUUCUUGCUUUCUAACUUUUGUCACUACAGAAAUGUUGAUGUUCAGUCCAAUUAGUGUCAUAUCAGUGUUUUCAUAGAUUUGGAAUGGGAAGGGAGGAGGACAGAAAAACAGUCUGUGAAGGCACUGAACGCUGCUCCAUGUAAAACUAAUAGAAGAAAAGUGAAAUAGCAUGGGAUAUUAUCACAGCUUUUUUCAAAAAUGCUUUCUGAAGUUAUCUGUAUAUUUUAAAUUUCCCACAGUGAUACACUUCAAGUUUUUAAAACAACACAAACAUUUGCCUUGGCUGACAGCCUAGUAUAAAGAAUAAAAAUUAUCAACACAACUGAAUGGCCUUAAAA